UCGUCAUAUGCGUAAGCAUGCGCAGGUUCGAAUCCUGCCGUCUGCAGCAGACGUGGCCGAGCGGUCCAAGGCGUGACGUUCAGG